rnacentral:rRNA from 1 species
GACGAACGCUGGCGGCGUGCUUAACACAUGCAAGUCGAACGGAAAGGCCCUGCUUUUGUGGGGUGCUCGAGUGGCGAACGGGUGAGUAACACGUGAGUAACCUGCCCUUGACUUCGGGAUAACUUCAGGAAACUGGGGCUAAUACCGGAUAGGAGCUCCUGCUGCAUGGUGGGGGUUGGAAAGUUUCGGCGGUUGGGGAUGGACUCGCGGCUUAUCAGCUUGUUGGUGGGGUAGUGGCUUACCAAGGCUUUGACGGGUAGCCGGCCUGGGAGGGUGACCGGCCACAUUGGGACUGAGAUACGGCCCAGACUCCUACGGGAGGCAGCAGUGGGGAAUAUUGCACAAUGGGCGGAAGCCCGAUGCAGCAACGCCGCGUGCGGGAUGACGGCCUUCGGGUUGUAAACCGCUUUCGCCUGUGACGAAGCGUGAGUGACGGUAAUGGGUAAAGAAGCACCGGCUAACUACGUG